GGAGGAUUCAGGCAAGAAGACUAAGGGCUGAAGCUCUGAGAUGAGGAAAGAGCAUCGGAAGAGAAAAUGCUCAAGGGGGAGUGGUCUGCACCUCCAACACCAGGGGAAACUCAGUCAAGCAAGUCCUGAGAAGCAGGCGCUGUACUGAGGCUCAAUGUCAGCCUGUGAGCAAUUUUACCGCUCAGAUCUGUGAGGAUAACGAGGUCUCCUUGGGGUUGGUGGAGCAGCUCUUACUGGGGAGCCAGAAGAAGUACGUGGAUCUGGACUGCAGCCCAGGAGCACUUGCUGGGGCAGCUUGGGAGAUGUCACCAGUAGUGACGGGAAGGACCCCUGGCUCUGUCCCAAAAGUCAAAGUGACUGUGAAGGGAGACGUCGUGAUGGAUUCAGGAUUGAGGCUGCCACACAGCACAACUAAAGACCCUCAGAAAAGAGGACUCCAGAGCUGCUGCAGGAAGUGGCCAGGACCAUGGGAUGAGUGCGCUGGAACUGAGGGGGAGGACUUUAAAGGGGAUUCAUGGCAAAGUGUCCUUUCCUGGAAUAAUUUUUAAAUUUUAAAAGAUGCAAUCAUUCAUAGUAGUUUUUGAUCAGAUCUUGUGAUUGCAGUAAGUCAGGCAGCCAGCUUUCCACUCUUCCCUUCCCUUCCUUCCUUUUUCAUCCUUUCUGUUCCUUCUUCAUGCUGCUAUUUCUGCUCUUGUAACUGCUUCUUCUCACAUAGUUAUUAUGAGACUCAGUAACUUUUAAGAGAAUAUUUUAAAUUUCA
rnacentral:lncRNA from 1 species